rnacentral:lncRNA from 10 species
GAAAGAAAUUGAACAACUAUCCACACGAAAAAUCACUGUCAUAAGAAACAAAAAUCAGGGAAUUCUUUCAGAUCUUGUCAAAGACAACCAUGGAAAUACUUCUACAAGUCUGCAAGAGCCACAGUGUCAUUGGUCUUGGGGUGUCCCCUAAUGCAGGUAAAAUUAACUUCAUUUCUUGCCAUAAACUUUCUACAUUGCACACUGAAGAGUAGAAAUUGUGAGUAAUCUUAUGUGCUGUAUCAGUGAAGACAUGUCUUCCAAAAUAACAUGCUUACUUUGGAUUAAGAAAUACAUCUUAAUGUGUGAUAUGAAGUUUGGGGAAAAUAAACAUCUGACAUCACCUUUAUUUCAAGAGUGUGUGUACGUGGUGACAAUGAAGAUAUAAGAAUUGGAAAAGAAAUUUGAGAAGUUGAGAGUAAUAUAAAAGAUUGUUACUUAAAACAAUAAAUACAAAUAAAAGCUGCAUUGAAUAUUUAUAUCUUAAUCUCUUACUAACUAAAUGAAGUUAACAUAUUAAGUUUAAAUAUUCCUAAGCAGCAUCAAUGCCUAAGGAAAGAUUUAUGGUAAUGAAGUGUUGACAGUUUUUUGAAAUUGCUUAUGUAUAUGUUAGCUGACAUUAACAUAAGUAAAUUGCUUCUGUCUGGAAUUCACCUUGAAGCCAUUUUCGAAUAUAAUAAUUCCCUAUCCUCUAAUAUGAAAGUCAUAUUUAAAUAAAA